rnacentral:rRNA from 1 species
UACGUAGGGUGCAAGCGUUAAUCGGAAUUACUGGGCGUAAAGCGUGCGCAGGCGGUGAUGUAAGACAGGUGUGAAAUCCCCGGGCUUAACCUGGGAACUGCAUUUGUGACUGCAUCGCUGGAGUGCGGCAGAGGGGGAUGGAAUUCCGCGUGUAGCAGUGAAAUGCGUAGAUAUGCGGAGGAACACCGAUGGCGAAGGCAAUCCCCUGGGCCUGCACUGACGCUCAUGCACGAAAGCGUGGGAGCAAACAGG